AUUGAACGCUGGCGGCAGGCCUAACACAUGCAAGUCGAACGAGUGGCGGACGGGUGAGUAAUGGCUGGUAAACUGCCCGAUGGAGGGGGAUAACUACGGGACACGGUAGCUAAGACCGCAUAACAUCUGAUGUGCCGAGAUGUGAUUAGCUUGUAGGUGAGGUAACGGCUAACCUAGGAGACGAUCCCUAGCUGGUCUGAGAGGAUGACCAGCAACACUGGAACUGAGACACGGUCCAGACUCCUACGGGAGGCAGCAGUGGGGAAUAUUGCACAAUGGGCGAAAGCCUGAUGCAGCCAUGCCGCGUGUAUGAAGAAGGCCUUCGGGUUGGAAAGCACUUUAAGUUGGGAGGCGUUACCAACAGAAUAAGCACCGGCUAACUUCGUGCCAGCCGCCGCGGUAAUUC
rnacentral:rRNA from 1 species